rnacentral:tRNA from 1 species
GGUCCUAUCGUCUAGGGGUUUAGGACGUCGCCCUCUCACGGCGGAGACCGGGGUUCGAAUCCCCGUAGGACCA